CCUACGGGUGGCAGCAGUGGGGAAUAUUGCGCAAUGGGGGAAACCCUGACGCAGCAACGCCGCGUGAGUGAGGAAGUAUCUCGGUAUGUAAAGCUCUAUCAGCGGGGAAGAAAGAGGACGGUACCCGACUAAGAAGCCCCGGCUAACUACGUGCCAGCAGCCGCGGUAAUACGUAGGGGGCGAGCGUUAUCCGGAUUUACUGGGUGUAAAGGGAGCGUAGACGGCAGAGCAAGUCUGAAGUGAAAGCCCGCGGCUCAACUGCGGGACUGCUUUGGAAACUGCCCGGCUAGAGUGCUGGAGAGGUAAGCGGAAUUCCUAGUGUAGCGGUGAAAUGCGUAGAUAUUAUGAGGAACACCAGUGGCGAAGGCGGCUUACUGGACAGUAACUGACGUUGAGGCUCGAAGGCGUGGGGAGCAAACAGGAUUAGAUACCCUGGUAGUC
rnacentral:rRNA from 1 species